CCCUCAUUUCACUUUUUUUUACGUUUUUCUUGGAUUACUGCCAUGGCUUCUCUCUCUCCAUCGAAGAUUUGACGUCCUCCACUGUCGCGCCACCGCCGCCGCUCGCGUCGCACAAGCUCCCUCCACAACCGCUCUCAUCGCGUUUGCUCCCUUCAUCACCAUUGUCGCACGAGCUCUCUCCGUCGUGCUCUUGUCUUACGAGCUCCCUCUGCCGCCGCUCUCGACGCUGCUUCUUCUCUCCUCGCCAGAGGUUUGUCAUCGUCUCUUCUCAUCACUGUUAGUUCAGUUGAAAAUCAAAGAAUACGAUCCAGGAGAGCUCUUAUGUUUGCAAAUCAGCUGUUGCUGCUGCAGAGAACUGAGUUUCUAAAUUCUAAGUGAAACAUGAUUGUGUGUUUCGUGCUGACUUGGAUUUAAAUGAAAUAACCUAUGUAUUAGGGGUAUAAGAAGCUUCCUCUCCCCACUU